AGAGUUUGAUCAUGGCUCAGAUUGAACGCUGGCGGCAUGCCUUACACAUGCAAGUCGAACGGCAGCGCGGGAGCAAUCCUGGCGGCGAGUGGCGAACGGGUGAGUAAUACAUCGGAACGUGCCCAAUCGUGGGGGAUAACGCAGCGAAAGCUGUGCUAAUACCGCAUACGAUCUACGGAUGAAAGCAGGGGACUCGCAAGAGCCUUGCGCGAAUGGAGCGGCCGAUGGCAGAUUAGGUAGUUGGUGGGGUAAAGGCUCACCAAGCCAACGAUCUGUAGCUGGUCUGAGAGGACGACCAGCCACACUGGGACUGAGACACGGCCCAGACUCCUACGGGAGGCAGCAGUGGGGAAUUUUGGACAAUGGGCGAAAGCCUGAUCCAGCCAUGCCGCGUGCAGGAUGAAGGCCUUCGGGUUGUAAACUGCUUUUGUACGGAACGAAAAGUCUCUUUCUAAUAAAGAGGGAUCAUGACGGUACCGUAAGAAUAAGCACCGGCUAACUACGUGCCAGCAGCCGCGGUAAUACGUAGGGUGCAAGCGUUAAUCGGAAUUACUGGGCGUAAAGCGUGCGCAGGCGGUUAUGUAAGACAGUUGUGAAAUCCCCGGGCUCAACCUGGGAACUGCAUCUGUGACUGCAUAGCUAGAGUACGGUAGAGGGGGAUGGAAUUCCGCGUGUAGCAGUGAAAUGCGUAGAUAUGCGGAGGAACACCGAUGGCGAAGGCAAUCCCCUGGACCUGUACUGACGCUCAUGCACGAAAGCGUGGGGAGCAAACAGGAUUAGAUACCCUAGUAGUCC
rnacentral:rRNA from 1 species